rnacentral:rRNA from 1 species
GAAUAUUGGACAAUGGGCGAAAGCCUGAUCCAGCCAUGCCGCGUGUGUGAAGAAGGUCUUCGGAUUGUAAAGCACUUUAAGCUGGGAGGAAGGGCAGUAAGUUAAUACCUUGCUGUUUUGACGUUACCAGCCGAAUAAGCACCGGCUCACUUCGUGCCAGCAGCCGCGGUAAUACGAAGGUUGCAAGCGUUAAUCGGAAUUAAUGGGCGUAAAGCGCGCGUAGGUGGUUCAGCAAGUUGGAUGUGAAAGCCCCGGGCUCAACCUGCGAACUGCAUCCAAAACUACUGGGCUAGAGUAUGGUAGAGGGUGGUGGAAUUUCCUGUGUAGCGGUGAAAUGCGUAGAUAUAGGAAGGAACACCAGUGGCGAAGGCGACCACCUGGACUAAUACUGACACUGAGGUGCGAAAGCGUGGGGAGCAAACAGG